GAUGAACGCUGGCGGCGUGCCUAAUACAUGCAAGUCGAGCGAACGGACGAGAAGCUUGCUUCUCUGAUGUUAGCGGCGGACGGGUGAGUAACACGUGGAUAACCUACCUAUAAGACUGGGAUAACUUCGGGAAACCGGAUCUAAUACCGGAUAAUAUUUUGAACCGCAUGGUUCAACAGUGCAAGACGGUCUUGCUGUCACUUAUAGAUGGAUCCGCGCUGCAUUAGCUAGUUGGUAAGGUAACGGCGUACCAAGGCAACGAUGCAUAGCCGACCUGAGAGGGUGAUCGGCCACACUGGAACUGAGACACGGUCCAGACUCCUACGGGAGGCAGCAGUAGGGAAUCUUCCGCAAUGGGCGAAAGCCUGACGGAGCAACGCCGCGUGAGUGAUGAAGGUCUUCGGAUCGUAAAACUCUGUUAUUAGGGAAGAACAUAUGUGUAAGUAACUGUGCACAUCUUGACGGUACCUAAUCAGAAAGCCACGGCUAACUACGUG
rnacentral:rRNA from 1 species